rnacentral:rRNA from 1 species
AUGAUCCUCGAGGGAGAGGCGGUGGCGGCCAUGGAGGCGCUCGGCCUGCCCAAGGUCUACACCAUUGGCCCGCUCCCGCUGCUGGCGCCGAGCUCAAACAUCAGCAUGAGCUUGUGGAAGCAGGAGGAGGAGUGCCUGCCGUGGCUCGACGACAAGGAGCCUGGCUCCGUUGUGUACGUGAACUUUGGCACCACCACCAUAAUGACCAAUGAGCAGCUGGUAGAGUUCGCCUGGGGCCUAGCCUUGAGUGGCAAGCAUUUCCUCUGGAUCAUCCGUCCUGACCUCAUCAGGGGCGACAGCGCGGUGCUCCCCCCGGAGUUCUUGGUCGAAACCGCCGAGUGUGGUCUCAUUGCCCCAUGGUGCCCACAACAGCAGGUGUUAAAUCACCCGGCAGUGGGCGUGUUCCUGACACAUUGCGGCUGGAACUCAACACUGGAUAGCAUGUGCGGCGGCGUGCCCGUCAUCAGCUGGCCAUUCUUCGCGGACCACCAGACCAUCUGCCGGUACCAAUGCACUGAAUGGGGCAUUGGCAUGGAGAUCGACAACAAUGUUCGGCGUGACGCCGUCGCAGGACUUAUCACGGAGGUCAUGGAGGGGCAGAAUGGCAAGGUGAUGAAGAAGAAGGCGCGGGAGUGGAGGGAGAAAGCGGUCAAGGCGACCAAGCCCGGCGGCUCGUCUCACCGCAACUUCGAAGAGUUGAUCCAUGAGGUGCUAGCUCCUACUCCUUGCCACUCUGCGUAA